GACGAACGCUGGCGGCGUGCUUAACACAUGCAAGUCGAACGGAAAGGCCCUGCUUUUGUGGGGUGCUCGAGUGGCGAACGGGUGAGUAACACGUGAGUAACCUGCCCUUGACUUUGGGAUAACUUCAGGAAACUGGGGCUAAUGCCGGAUAGGAGCUCCUGCUGCAUGGUGGGGGUUGGAAAGUUUCGGCGGUUGGGGAUGGACUCGCGGCUUAUCAGCUUGUUGGUGGGGUAGUGGCUUACCAAGGCUUUGACGGGUAGCCGGCCUGAGAGGGUGACCGGCCACAUUGGGACUGAGAUACGGCCCAGACUCCUACGGGAGGCAGCAGUGGGGGAUAUUGCACAAUGGGCGGAAGCCUGAUGCAGCAACGCCGCGUGCGGGAUGACGGCCUUCGGGUUGUAAACCGCUUUCGCCUGUGACGAAGCGUGAGUGACGGUAAUGGGUAAAGAAGCACCGGCUAACUACGUG
rnacentral:rRNA from 1 species